rnacentral:piRNA from 1 species
UACAAAGCUUAAAUGCGUGGCUACUUUCAC